UUAGAAUACUUAUAAAAUGAGAGUAAAGUAGGCAAUGCUAAAUAUUUUCAUGAAACCCUGUAAGGAACUACACACCAGAGCUCAGUACCGUCUGAAUAAGUGAUAAUUUCUGAAAAUGGAUUUCUUUAAAAGAAUUGCAAUAUAUUUCAACCCACCGCCGGCACAGGAGCCAACGAUUGUCGAUAUUACUAAACGACUAUGCCUUCAGAUUUGGGACUAUUUUCGACCGCCGCCCCCUCCAGUACGCUUUCUGGGCGAUGACAACUUUAUUAAUACCCUCAACGUUAGUUCCCUGAUAUUGGUCUUCGUAUGCCCUUUUAUUAUGGGUAUAUACUUUAAAGAUCUAGUAAAACUAUGCAGAAAACUCUACCAUUGGAAGGCUAUGCUAAGACAGAUAGACCAUAUGGGGAAUAUCGAGGACGAUCAGAGCGAGUUAUCUGAGGAGGAGGAGGAGAUAGCCGACAUAGAAGAUGGAGCAAGGGAAGUCGCUAGACUGGAGGAUGAUCCGAACGAACUUGCUCUAGUCCCUGUCCCAGUCCCAGAACCAAUCCAACUCCCAAUCCCCGUCCCAAACGAUAAUUAGUUAUAUUUUGAUUAAAUUUAGUUCGAAAUUUGCAGUCCAAACUAGUUUUAAAUAAAUGUGCUAUGAUCCUUAAA
rnacentral:sRNA from 1 species